rnacentral:lncRNA from 1 species
GGGAAAAAAUUAUUUUCUCUAAGACUCCAGAGACACUUUUCUUAGUCAUGUCCAGUAAUAUUUUUCAAAUAUUUUGGAAGAAAUAAGCUCCUCACUAUACCACCAGUUAGUGAUUU